GACGAGAAGCUCAGAGGUCUCUCCUGUGAAAUGCUAAACACACCGAUUCUGCCUUUCAAUAAUAACUUGGGAUCUUCAGGAAUCAGUUUGGAUUGGGAAAGAUUGGGCCACAAGCUGCAGUUAUUUGAAGCACACAACAUAUCCAAGUCCAGGUGUGAGGAGCCAG